CAAGGCUUGACAUCCAUAGAAUCCUUAAGAGAUUAGGGAGUGCCCUUCGGGGAACUAUGAGACAGGUGGUGCAUGGUUGUCGUCAGCUCGUGUCGUGAGAUGUUGGGUUAAGUCCCGCAACGAGCGCAACCCCUAUAUUCAGUUACCAGCAUGUAAUGAUGGGAACUCUGGAUAGACUGCCGGUGACAAACCGGAGGAAGGUGGGGAUGACGUCAAAUCAUCAUGCCCCUUAUGUCUUGGGCUACACACGUGCUACAAUGGACGGUACAGACGGACGCGAAGCCGUGAGGUGAAGCAAAUCCGAGAAAGCCGUUCUCAGUUCGGAUUGUAGGCUGCAACUCGCCUACAUGAAGUCGGAAUCGCUAGUAAUCGCAGGUCAGCACACUGCGGUGAAUACGUUCCC
rnacentral:rRNA from 1 species